CACGCAUGACACACUGCAUAUCAAUAAGCGGAGGAAAAGAAACUAACAAGGAUUCCCUUAGUAACGGCGAGUGAAGCGGGAAGAGCUCAAAUUUGAAAUCUUCAAGGUUUUACCUUGACGAAUUGUAGUUUAAAGAAGUGUUUUCUGUUGGAGUUUUGGUAAAAGUUCUUUGGAAUAGGACAUCAUAGAGGGUGAGAAUCCCGUAUUUGACCAUUAUUUCCAGCUGUGUGAUACACUUUCAAAGAGUCGGAUUGUUUGGGAAUGCAGUCCAAAAUGGGUGGUAAAUUUCAUCUAAAGCUAAAUAUUGGCGAGAGACCGAUAGCGAACAAGUACCGUGAGGGAAAGAUGAAAAGAACUUUGAAAAGAGAGUUAAACAGUACGUGAAAUUGUCAAAAGGGAAGCGUUUGACACCAGUGUUGUUUUUCCGAAAAUCAAUUACGAAUGUUUUAUUUUUGAGGAGUUAUGACUUCAUCGGCUUGCUCCUUUCUUUAUGAAACUUUCUUAAUGCACUUUUCGGUUAACAAGUCAACAUCAAUUUCUUUUGUUGUAAAAGGGUAUGAGGAAGGUGGCUUUCUUUUCGGAGAAAGUGUUUAUAGCCUUGUACCUCUGCAAUCGGAGAGAUUGAGGUCUGCAGCGUAGAUCCUUCGGGGCUAGAUACAUUUGUGCUAAGUUAUAGCUUUUCAUAGACAACUUGUUGACUAUGUUUAGUCUUGUAGCUUACUCGCUUAUGCUAUUUUACCUACGCUUAGGAUGUUGACUGAUAUGUAGUCGUA
rnacentral:rRNA from 1 species